GAGGAUAUAGCUCAGCAGUGCAGUGCCUGCCUGGCAAACACAAGGUCCUGAGUUCGAUUUCCAGUAACCUCG
rnacentral:tRNA from 1 species